rnacentral:rRNA from 1 species
AGUCUGGUGCCAGCAUCCGCGGUAAUUCCAGCUCCACUAGCAUAUAUUAAAGUUGUUGCAGUUAAAAAGCUCGUAGUUGAACCUCUGUCUGGGGCUAGUUUUGGCUUUGGUCAGGCUAGUUCUAGGCAUCCGCCUACAAGACUUAGAGGGCAUUCAGUUGUUCACUAGGAGGAGUAGGCAUUUUACUUUGAAAAAAUUAGAGUGUUUAAGGCAGGCAAUCGCCCGCAUAUAUUAGCAUGGAAUAAUAGAAUAGGACACUUUUCCAUUUCGUUGGUUAUUGGAAUCGUGUAAUGAUUAAUAGGGACAGUUGUGGGCAUUUGUAUUUAAUUGUCAGAGGUGAAAUUCUUGGAUUUAUUAAAGACAAACUAACGCGAAAGCAUUUGCCAAGGAUGUUUUCAUUAAUCAAGAACGAAAGUUAGGGGAUCAAAGACGAUCAGAUACCGUCCUAGUCUUAACUAUAAACUAUUCCGACUCAAUGUUUGACUGGCUUAUAUAACCAGUUGAGCGUUGUAUGAGAAAUCAAAGUCUUUAGGUUCUGGGGGGAGUAUGGUUGCAAAGCUGAAACUUAAAGGAAUUGACGGAAGAGCACAACCAGGAGUGGAUUCUGCGGCUUAAUUUGACUCAACACGGGGAAACUUACCAGGUUAAAACAAUAGUGGGAUUGACAGUUUGAGAGCGCUUUCUUGAUUGGUUGGGUGGUGGUGCAUGGCCGUUCUUAGUUGGUGGAGUGAUUUGUCUGCUUAAUUGCGUUAACGAACGAGACCUUAACCUGCUUACUAGACUGGCGAUCAUCAAUCGUUAGCUCUUCUUAGAGGGACUUUGGUUGUUUUAACUCCAAGGAAGUUUGAGGCAAUAACAGGUCUGUGAUGCCCUUAGAUAUCCUGGGCCGCACGCGUCAUACAAUGACUAGUUCAGAAAGUUUUCUCCUGACCCGAAAGGGGAUGGGUAAUCUUGAUAAUACUAGUCGUGUUAGGGAUCGAUCUUUGCAAUUAUAGAUCUUGAACGAGGAAUUCCUAGUAAGUGCGGUUCAUCAGACCGUACUGAUUACGUCCCUGCUCUUUGUACACACCGCCCGUCGCUUCUACCGAGUGGGUGGUCCGGUGAGAUAAUUGAACUUCGCAGGUAACUGAGAGGAAAGAUUAUCAAACCUAUCCACCU